rnacentral:lncRNA from 10 species
CGGAGACUACGGUGAGCCGAGAUCGUGCCACUGCACUCUAGCCUGGAUGACAGAGCAAGACUCCGUCUCCAAAACAAAAACAAAAAACACUUUAUUCUUGAUUUCUUACUUUAUCCAAAAGCAAUUUUGGAGAUUUUUUUUAUUUUUUUGAGACAGGGACUCACUCUAUCAACCAGGCUGAAGUGCAGCAGUAUAAUCUCAGCUCACUGUGCAACCUCCCAGGCUCAAGCCAUGCUCCCACCUCAGCCUCCUGAGUAGCUGGGACUACAGGUGUGCACCACCACACCCAGCUAAUUUUUGUAUUUUUGUUUUUAUAGAGAUGGAGUCUCACCACAUUGCCCAGGCUGGUCUCAAACUCCUGGACUCAAGUGAUCCACUCGCCUUGGCCUCCCAAAAUGUUGGGAUUACAGGUGUGAGCUACCGUGCCUGGUCUGGAGAAUUUUUAAUAGCUGAUUUCUGAAGUUAAUUAUUUUUAUUUUUUAAUUGUUUUCACUGCCACAAAUUUCAGUCACAAAUUUCACACAGACUCUAACAUUAAUUUCUAAUUUUAGCAUAUGUGAACAGGGAAUGUGAUCUAUAUGACACCUGUGUUUUCAAAUUUAUUGGGAUUUUCUUUGUGAUGGAAAAUAUGAUAGGUGUUUUAAAUUAUUUUCCAGAUCUUGGAAAAUCAUCUGAGUAACUUUAAGGCCCAAGCCAACAGUCAAGAUAUCUAGAGGAACUGGGGAAAAGAACAAAAUGUGAACGGAAAGUAAACUUCAAAGAGGAACUGAUUUUGAUACUGAAGGGACAAAGAACUGACUUCUUCAGUACCUACUAUCGGCCAGGCCCCAUGCUAGGUUUCAAACAUUUCCAAGGGAGGAGAAAUAAUUGCACUCUGCAGCAUCACUUCUGUUUGCAUGGCUGUUUCUCCUGAAGAUUGGAAGCUCCUUGAAGGCCUGGCCUAGGUCUUCUCACCAUUGACUCUGAAGUGAACCAUAAGCCUAGACCUUGUUUCCUAAAUAUAUAAUUUAUUGUUCAAAAUUAAUAUAAUCAUUCUUACCACAGAAACAAACAAUCAAACAAACAAAACGAACAACAAAGGGGUUCAAGGAAACUUUUGGAGGUGAUGGAUAUACUAACUGUGGUGACUGUCACAGGAGUAUAUACAUACGUCCAAACUCACAGAUUGUAUAUAUUAAUUAUGUGUAUUUUUUUAUGCCAAUUAUACCUUAAUAAUCCAGGAGAGGAAAAAUGAAAAAUAAAUACACCUUGCUCAAGAAAGAGAAAAAAUAUAUAAUAAUUAUAGAAAUUUGGCAAAUAGGGCCAGCCGUGAUAGCUCAUGCCUAUAAUCCCAGCACUUUGGGAGGCCAAGGCAGGAGGACUGCUGGAGCCCAGGAGUUCAAGGCUGCAGUGAGCCAGGAUUGUGUCACUGCACUACAGCCUGGGUGACAGAGCAAUACCCUGUCUCUAAAAACGAAAGAAAGAAAAAGAAAGGAAGGAAGGAGAGAGAAAAGAAAGAAAAAGAAAGAAGGAAGGAAGGAAGAAAAAGAAACAAAAAAGAAGUUGGGCAAGUACACUAAGGGAUAAAGAAGAAAAUUAAAUCACCUAUAAUUUCAAGAAACAGAAAUAACUUUUUUUUUUUUUUUUUUUUUAGAUAGAGUCUCACUCUGUCACCCAGGCUGGAGUGUAAUGGCGUGAUCUCGGCUCACCACAACCUCUGCCUCCUGGGUUCAAGUGAUUCUCCUGCCUCAGCCUCCUGAGUAGCUGGGAUAACAGGCAUGCACCACCACACCUGGCUAAUUUUUCGUAUUUUUAGUAGAGAUGAGGUUUCACCAUGUUGGCCAGGCUGGUUUCAAACUCCUGACCUCACGUGAUCUGCCCACCUUGGCAUCCCAAAGUGCUGGGAUUACAGGUGUAAGCCACUGAGCCCAGCCAGAAAUAACUUUUUAAAAACUUGUAUAUUUUCUUCCAGGCAUUUUACAUGCAUUUUUCCGGAUAAGUAUACAUGUAUAUACCAAAUUUUAAAUAUAUAUAAUUCUGAUGCAUAUGCAAUUUUAUAUUUCACUCAGCAUAUUACAAACACUUCCCAAGUCAUUAUUCUUCAAAAACAUGAUUUUUAAUAGCUUAUAUAGUAUUACAUCAGAUGUUCAUGCCAUAACUUCUUUAAACAUUUCCAUCAUUUUUGGAUAUUUAGAUUAUUUCCUUCUUUCUUUCCUUCUUUUUUCCUAUUUUUAACUUUUGCCAAUAUAAAUAAUACUUUCAUAAACAUGCUUAACACAUCUUUGUUCACAUUGCUGAUUAUUUCUCUCAAGAACAGAUUUCUAGAAUUCGAGUUACUGAAUCAAAGGGUAUAAAUUUUUAAGCUUCUCUUGAUCUUUCAUAUCCAAUUAUUUUCCAGGCUUUGUACCAAUUUGCCCUCCUGUAGCCAUAAGUAUCAUCACUGUGGCUUUUACAUUUAAUUUAUUUGUAACUCUUCGGUGAAGCUGGCAGUUGUAAUGACCCAUGUUUCUUUUGGCAUAUUUCUAUUCUUAAAUUUAUGUGUAUAGGAUU